UCACGCUUGUAACCCUAGUUGCGGAGUGAAGAUGGCGGCCCACGAGAAUGCACUGCUUGUCUGAGGGGGUGGUGGCGGCGACAUCGUCGUGGGUCCCUCCUCAACGCAGCAGUUUGUUUUUGGCGCGAGCGCGCA
rnacentral:SRP_RNA from 18 species